rnacentral:rRNA from 1 species
CCCGCACAAGCGGUGGAGCAUGUGGUUUAAUUCGAAGCAACGCGAAGAACCUUACCAGGUCUUGACAUCCCCUGACAACCCGAGAGAUCGGGCGUUCCCCUUCGGGGGACAGGGUGACAGGUGGUGCAUGGUUGUCGUCAGCUCGUGUCGUGAGAUGUUGGGUUAAGUCCCGCAACGAGCGCAACCCUCGACCUUAGUUGCCAGCAUUCAGUUGGGCACUCUAAGGUGACUGCCGGCUAAAAGUCGGAGGAAGGUGGGGAUGACGUCAAAUCAUCAUGCCCCUUAUGACCUGGGCUACACACGUGCUACAAUGGACGGUACAAAGGGUCGCGAACCCGCGAGGGGGAGCCAAUCCCACAAAGCCGGUCGUAGUCCGGAUCGCAGUCUGCAACUCGACUGCGUGAAGUCGGAAUCGCUAGUAAUCGCGGAUCAGCAUGUCGCGGUGAAUACGUUCCCGGGUCUU